UACGUAGGGUGCGAGCGUUGUCCGGAAUUAUUGGGCGUAAAGAGCUCGUAGGCGGCGUGUCACGUCGGCCGUGAAAACCUGCAGCUUAACUGUGGGCGUGCGGUCGAUACGGGCAUCACUGGAGUUCGGCAGGGGAGACUGGAAUUCCUGGUGUAGCGGUGAAAUGCGCAGAUAUCAGGAGGAACACCGGUGGCGAAGGCGGGUCUCUGGGCCGAUACUGACGCUGAGGAGCGAAAGCGUGGGGAGCAAACAGG
rnacentral:rRNA from 1 species